rnacentral:lncRNA from 1 species
GGAUGGACAUGAUAUGGACAAAUUAUUAGUCAUUAAGUGAUUCCGUUUAUUAGGUGUAAAAUUAUUAGUCAUUAAUAUUAGGUGUAAAAUUUCCUUAAUAAUAGUAAACGAUAACAUGAUAUGGACAAAUCCACUAUUAAAUGGUAAAUUGAUGCGAUCCUUAAUAAUAGUAAACGAUAAAAUGAUAUGGACAAAAUUGAAUAG